GGCAGAAAAAGCCACAUCUCACUGAACUCCACAAUGGUCCCCUAAAAGGACACCUGUUCUCACUAAACUACUGAGUUCUUGGGAUGUUUGAUGCACCAACCCUGCUCCUCCAAUUGAGAGACCAUAAUAUAAGUGUGGAGUACCUCUAGAUAUUAGAAGUUGCUUGUACCAGGAUAUUGUCUGGGUUAUGGGGCAACUACAGUUUCUAU